AACGGAGGCGCUCAAAGGUUCCCUCAGAAUGGUUGGAAAUCAUUCAAAGAGUGUAAAGGCAUAAGGGAGCUUGACUGCGAGACCUACAAGUCGAGCAGGGUCGAAAGACGGACUUAGUGAUCCGGUGGUUCCGCAUGGAAGGGCCAUCGCUCAACGGAUAAAAGCUACCCCGGGGAUAACAGGCUUAUCUCCCCCAAGAGUUCACAUCGACGGGGAGGUUUGGCACCUCGAUGUCGGCUCAUCGCAUCCUGGGGCUGUAGUCGGUCCCAAGGGUUGGGCUGUUCGCCCAUUAAAGCGGUACGCGAGCUGGGUUCAGAACGUCGUGAGACAGUUCGGUCCCUAUCCGUCGUGGGCGUAGGAAAUUUGAGAGGCGCUGUCCUUAGUACGAGAGGACCGGGAUGGACAUACCUCUGGUGUACCAGUUGUCGCGCCAGCGGCAUAGCUGGGUAGCUAUGUAUGGACGGGAUAAGUGCUGAAAGCAUCUAAGCAUGAAGCCCCCCUCGAGAUGAGAUUUCCCAACUUCGGUUAUAAGAUCCCUCAAAGAUGAUGAGGUUAAUAGGUUCGAGGUGGAAGCGUAGUGAUACGUGGAGCUGACGAAUACUAAUCGAUCGAAGACUUAAUCAAAUU
rnacentral:rRNA from 1 species